rfam:Endozoicomonas elysicola strain DSM 22380 scaffold00001, whole genome shotgun sequence.
UGCGGGGUGGAGCAGCCUGGUAGCUCGUCGGGCUCAUAACCCGAAGGUCGUUGGUUCGAAUCCAGCCCCCGCUA